rnacentral:rRNA from 1 species
UACGUAGGGGGCGAGCGUUGUCCGGAUUCAUUGGGCGUAAAGAGCUCGUAGGCGGCUUGUCAAGUCGGGUGUGAAACCUCCAGGCUCAACCUGGAGACGCCACUCGAGACUGUCAUGGCUAGAGUCCGGUAGGGGAUCACGGAAUUCCUGGUGGAGCGGUGAAAUGCGUUGAUAUCGGAAGGAACGCCCGUGGCGAAAGCGAGAUCCUGGACGUCUUCUGACGCUGAGACGCGAAAGCUAGGGGAGCAAACGGG